CUGGCUCAGGAUGAACGCUAGCGGCAGGCCUAAUACAUGCAAGUCGGACGGGAUCUCCCCUUCGGGGGAGUGAGAGUGGCGCGACGGGUGCGUAACGCGUAUGCAACCAACCCUCAUCCGGGGGACAGCCGGUGGAAACGCCGGGUAAUACCCCAUGCCGAUUCCUGUGGGCAUCCAUGGGGAUUGAAAGACUUCGGUCGGAGGAGGACGGGCAUGCGUCCCAUUAGCUAGUCGGCGGGGUGACGGCCCACCGAGGCGACGAUGGGUAGGGGAUCUGAGAGGACGGUCCCCCACACUGGUACUGAGACACGGACCAGACUCCUACGGGAGGCAGCAGUAAGGAAUAUUGGGCAAUGGGGGGAACCCUGACCCAGCCAAUGCCGCGUGAGGGAAGUAGGCCCUACGGGUCGUGAACCUCUUUUGUCCAGGGACAAGGACGGGGUCGGGAACUCCGUUUGAGGGUACUGGAAGAAUAAGCAUCGGCUAACUCCGUGCCAGCCGCUGC
rnacentral:rRNA from 1 species